CAGCGUCUGCUCUCCACAUCCGCAACGGCAAUGGCGUUCGUCGCCAUCCACGCCCGCCUCGCCGUGUUCCCCCCUCGCCUCUCCGCCUCCGCCGCCGCGUCGUCUCUCCGCUCAGAUUCUUCCGGCUAUCGUUUUCCUUCUCUCAGGACUUUAACCGGAAACAGCCGCCGUAGCCUACGGUACGGGCGCCGGCGGUGUCGCGCGGCAGGCAUCACCGCGUCGCUCGACCUCGACCUCACCGAGGACAACGUCCGGCAGGCCAUCGAAGACGCCAAAGCCGAGCUGGCCCAGCUGUUUGAUACCUCGGUGGGCAUGACAGGGCAAGUUGAUCUGGCGGAGCUGGACGGGCCGUUCGUGAAGCUCCGCCUCAAGGGCAAGUUCUGGCACACCCGCGCUACCGUCGUCGCGCGGAUCGGCAAUUACCUCAAGAACCGUAUACCGGAAAUCCUGGAGGUGGAGAUAGAAGAUGAGAGCCAGCUCGACGACAGUCCUGCUGCUUACUGAGAUUCAAGAACAUGCAAGGUACGGCCAAGGGUGCCAACUUUUUCAGCAUCGGGUUUAAUAGGAUCAUAUUUAUUGGUCCAGAACAUGCAAGGUGUUGCCGAGGGUGCCAACUUUUUCAGCACCGGGUUUAAUAGGACCAUAUUUUUUGUAUGUGGGAAGGAUAUAGCAAUGAUGUGCUCCUGUGCUGAUUGUAUACUUAUGUGUGUAGUAACAACUCCUGUGAAUGAUGUUUAAGUUGGUGUGGUCAUCAUACUGCACUUGAAAUACCACAGCAUCAGUAAUGUACCUGUAGUCAUGUGUUCAUUCUUUA